UUUUGCAUAUCCCAAAUAGCGGAGGAAAAGAAACCAACAGGGAUUGCCUCAGUAACGGCGAGUGAAGCGGCAACAGCUCAAAUUUGAAAUCUGGCCUCUUUGGGGUCCGAGUUGUAAUUUGUAGAGGAUGUUUCGGGCACCGCUCCGGUUUAAAUUUCUUGGAACAGAAUGUCAAAGAGGGUGAGAACCCCGUCUUGGACCGGCAGUAGGGCCCAUGUGAAACUCCUUCGACGAGUCGAGUUGUUUGGGAAUGCAGCUCAAAAUGGGUGGUAAAUUUCAUCUAAAGCUAAAUAUUGGCCAGAGACCGAUAGCGCACAAGUAGAGUGAUCGAAAGAUGAAAAGCACUUUGAAAAGAGAGUUAAACAGUACGUGAAAUUGUUGAAAGGGAAGCGCUUGCAACCAGACUUGCGCGCGGCGGUUCCCCCUUCCUUUUGGUUGGGUUAUUCCGCCGUGUCCAGGCCAACAUCGGUUCUGGGGGUCGGUUAAAGGCCUGGGGAAUGUAUCUACCCUUCGGGCGUAGACUUAUAGCCCCGGGUGUCAUGCGACCUCCCGGGACCGAGGAACGCGCUUCGGCUCGGAUGUUGGCGUAAUGGUUGUCAGCGACCCGUCUUGAACCAACGGGACCAAA
rnacentral:rRNA from 1 species